AUUGAACGCUGGCGGCAUGCUUUACACAUGCAAGUCGAACGGCAGCGCGGGCUUCGGCCUGGCGGCGAGUGGCGAACGGGUGAGUAAUACAUCGGAACGUGCCCAGUAGUGGGGGAUAGCUCGGCGAAAGCCGGAUUAAUACCGCAUACGACCUGAGGGUGAAAGCGGGGGAUCUUCGGACCUCGCGCUAUUGGAGCGGCCGAUGGCAGAUUAGCUAGUUGGUGGGGUAAAGGCCUACCAAGGCGACGAUCUGUAGCUGGUCUGAGAGGACGACCAGCCACACUGGGACUGAGACACGGCCCAGACUCCUACGGGAGGCAGCAGUGGGGAAUUUUGGACAAUGGGCGAAAGCCUGAUCCAGCAAUGCCGCGUGUGUGAUGAAGGCCUUCGGGUUGUAAAGCACUUUUGGCGGGAACGAAAAGGACUGUGCCAAUACCACGGUUUGAUGACGGUACCCGCAGAAUAAGCACCGGCUAACUACGUG
rnacentral:rRNA from 1 species